AUUGAACGCUGGCGGCAGGCCUAACUCAUGCAAGUCGAACGGUAACAGGAAGAAGCUUGCUUCUUUGCUGACGAGUGGCGGACGGGUGAGUAAUGUCUGGGAAACUGCCUGAUGGAGGGGGAUAACUACUGGAAACGGUAGCUAAUACCGCAUAACGUCGCAAGACCAAAGAGGGGGACCUUCGGGCCUCUUGCCAUCGGAUGUGCCCAGAUGGGAUUAGCUAGUAGGUGGGGUAACGGCUCACCUAGGCGACGAUCCCUAUCUGGUCUGAGAGGAUGAGCCGCCACACUGGAACUGAGACACGGUCCAGACUCCUACGGGAGGCAGCAGUGGGGAAUAUUGCACAAUGGGCGCAAGCCUGAUGCAGCCAUGCCGCGUGUAUGAAGAAGGCCUUCGGGUUGUAAAGUACUUUCAGCGGGGAGGAAGGGAGUAAAGUUAAUACCUUUGCUCAUUGACGUUACCCGCAGAAGAAGCACCGGCUAACUCCGUG
rnacentral:rRNA from 1 species